ACUCAAAUGAAUUGACGGGGGCCCGCACAAGCGGUGGAGCAUGUGGUUCAAUUCGACGCAACGCGAAGAACCUUACCUGGGUUGGAACCCCCUGGAAGUCUUCAGAGAUGGAGAUGUGCCCGCAAGGGAACCAGGUGUCCAGGUGCUGCAUGGCUGUCGUCAGCUCGUGUCGUGAGAUGUUGGGUUAAGUCCCGCAACGAGCGCAACCCUUGUCGUUAGUUGCCAGCGGUUCGGCCGGGCACUCUAACGAGACUGCCGGUGUUAAACCGGAGGAAGGUGGGGAUGACGUCAAGUCCUCAUGGCCCUUAUGCCCAGGGCUACACACGUGCUACAAUGGCCGGUACAAAGGGUUGCAAGCCCGCGAGGGUGAGCCAAUCCCAAAAAACCGGCCUCAGUUCAGAUUGAAGUCUGCAACUCGACUUCAUGAAGUCGGAAUCGCUAGUAAUCCCUGAUCAGCAGGCAGGGGUGAAUACGUUCCCGGGCCUUGUACACACCGCCCGU
rnacentral:rRNA from 1 species